AGAACGAACGCUGGCGGCAUGCCUAACACAUGCAAGUCGAACGAGACCUUCGGGUCUAGUGGCGCACGGGUGCGUAACGCGUGGGAACCUGCCCUUAGGUUCGGAAUAACUCAGAGAAAUUUGAGCUAAUACCGGAUAAUGUCUUCGGACCAAAGAUUUAUCGCCUAUGGAUGGGCCCGCGUAGGAUUAGCUUGUUGGUGGGGUAAUGGCCUACCAAGGCGACGAUCCUUAGCUGGUCUGAGAGGAUGAUCAGCCACACUGGGACUGAGACACGGCCCAGACUCCUACGGGAGGCAGCAGUGGGGAAUAUUGGACAAUGGGCGAAAGCCUGAUCCAGCAAUGCCGCGUGAGUGAUGAAGGCCUUAGGGUUGUAAAGCUCUUUUUACCCGGGAUGAUAAUGACAGUACCGGAGAAUAAGCUCCGGCUAACGUACGUGCCAGCAGCCGC
rnacentral:rRNA from 1 species